rnacentral:misc_RNA from 1 species
CUGAGUACUACACUCUCUACCCUUUGUGAACUAUUAUACCUGUUGCUUCGGCGGCGCCCGCAAGGGUGCCCGCCGGUCUCAUCAGAAUCUCUGUUUUCGAACCCGACGAUACUUCUGAGUGUUCUUAGCGAACUGUCAAAACUUUUAACAACGGAUCUCUUGGCUCCAGCAUCGAUGAAGAACGCAGCGAAACGCGAUAUGUAAUGUGAAUUGCAGAAUUCAGUGAAUCAUCGAAUCUUUGAACGCACAUGGCGCCUUCCAGUAUCCUGGGAGGCAUGCCUGUCCGAGCGUCGUUUCAACCCUCGAGCCCCUGUGGCCCGGCGUUGGGGAUCUGCCACGGCAGGCCCCUAAAACCAGUGGCGGACCCGAAGGCCCUCUCCUUUGCGCAGUAGCAUCAGCCUCGCAUUGGGAUCCCUCGGCGUCCUGCCUCUAAACCCCCCACAAGUCCGCUCCGGCGGCACCAAG